rnacentral:rRNA from 1 species
AGCAGCCGCGGUAAUUCCAGCUCCAAUAGCGUAUAUUAAAGUUGUUGCAGUUAAAAAGCUCGUAGUUGAAUUUCGGGAUCAAUCUGUUGGUCGUGCCUUUGGUACGUACUAGCUUAUUGAUUUCUCCCUUCUGACGAACCAUGAUGUCAUUAAUUUGGUGUCAUGGGAAAUCAGGACUGUUACUUUGAAAAAAUUAGAGUGUUUAAAGCAGGCUCACGCUUGAAUACAUUAGCAUGGAAUAAUGAAAUAGGACGUUUUGAUUCUAUUUUGUUGGUUUCUAGGAUCGACGUAAUGAUUAAUAGGGAUAGUUGGGGGCAUUAGUAUUCAAUUGUCAGAGGUGAAAUUCUUGGAUUUAUUGAAGACUAACUACUGCGAAAGCAUUUGCCAAGGAUGUUUUCAUUAAUCAAGAACGAAAGUUAGGGGAUCGAAGACGAUCAGAUACCGCCGUAGUCUUAACCAUAAACUAUGCCGACUAGGGAUCGGAUGAUGCUAAUUUUUAAUGACUCAUUC